rnacentral:rRNA from 1 species
GACGAACGCUGGCGGCGUGCUUAACACAUGCAAGUCGAACGGAAAGGCCCUGCUUUUGUGGGGUGCUCGAGUGGCGAACGGGUGAGUAACACGUGAGUAACCUGCCCUUGACUUUGGGAUAACUUCAGGAAACUGGGGCUAAUACCGGAUAGGAGCUCCUGCUGCAUGGUGGGGGUUGGAAAGUUUCGGCGGUUGGGGAUGGACUCGCGGCUUAUCAGCUUGUUGGUGGGGUAGUGGCUUACCAAGGCUUUGACGGGUAGCCGGCCUGAGAGGGUGACCGGCCACAUUGGGACUGAGAUACGGCCCAGACUCCUACGGGAGGCAGCAGUGGGGAAUAUUGCACAAUGGGCGGAAGCCUGAUGCAGCAACGCCGCGUGCGGGAUGACGGCCUUCGGGUUGUAAACCGCUUUCGCCUGUGACGAAGCGUGAGUGACGGUAAUGGGUGAAGAAGCACCGGCUAACUACGUGCCAGCAGCCGCGGUGAUACGUAGGGUGCGAGCGUUGUCCGGAUUUAUUGGGCGUAAAGGGCUCGUAGGUGGUUGAUCGCGUCGGAAGUGUAAUCUUGGGGCUUAACCCUGAGCGUGCUUUCGAUACGGGUUGACUUGAGGAAGGUAGGGGAGAAUGGAAUUCCUGGUGGAGCGGUGGAAUGCGCAGAUAUCAGGAGGAACACCAGUGGCGAAGGCGGUUCUCUGGGCCUUUCCUGACGCUGAGGAGCGAAAGCGUGGGGAGCGAACAGGCUUAGAUACCCUGGUAGUCCACGCUGUAAACGGUGGGUACUAGGUGUGGGGUCCAUUCCACGGGUUCCGUGCCGUAGCUAACGCUUUAAGUACCCCGCCUGGGGAGUACGGCCGCAGGGCUAAAACUCAAAGGAAUUGACGGGGCCCCGCACAAGCGGCGGAGCAUGCGGAUUAAUUCGAUGCAACGCGUAGAACCUUACCUGGGUUUGACAUGGAUCGGGAGUGCUCAGAGAUGGGUGUGCCUCUUUUGGGGUCGGUUCACAGGUGGUGCAUGGCUGUCGUCAGCUCGUGUCGUGAGAUGUUGGGUUAAGUCCCGCAACGAGCGCAACCCUUGUUCACUGUUGCCAGCACGUUAUGGUGGGGACUCAGUGGAGACCGCCGGGGUCAACUCGGAGGAAGGUGGGGAUGACGUCAAGUCAUCAUGCCCCUUAUGUCCAGGGCUUCACGCAUGCUACAAUGGCUGGUACAGAGAGUGGCGAGCCUGUGAGGGUGAGCGAAUCUCGGAAAGCCGGUCUCAGUUCGGAUUGGGGUCUGCAACUCGACCUCAUGAAGUCGGAGUCACUAGUAAUCGCAGAUCAGCAACGCUGCGGUGAAUACGUUCCCGGG